rnacentral:rRNA from 1 species
UGAGGAAUAUUGGUCAAUGGGCGAGAGCCUGAACCAGCCAAGUAGCGUGCAGGAUGACGGCCCUAUGGGUUGUAAACUGCUUUUAUGUGGGGAUAAAGUGCGUGACGUGACAUGCAUUGCAGGUACCACAUGAAUAAGGACCGGCUAAUUCCGUGCCAGCAGCCGCGGUAAUACGGAAGGUCCGGGCGUUAUCCGGAUUUAUUGGGUUUAAAGGGAGCGUAGGCUGUCUAUUAAGCGUGUUGUGAAAUUUACCGGCUCAACCGGUGGCUUGCAGCGCGAACUGGUCGACUUGAGUAUGCAGGAAGUAGGCGGAAUUCAUGGUGUAGCGGUGAAAUGCUUAGAUAUCAUGACGAACUCCGAUUGCGCAGGCAGCUUACUGUAGCAUAACUGACGCUGAUGCUCGAAAGUGCGGGUAUCAAACAGG